UACGAAGGGGGCUAGCGUUGCUCGGAAUCACUGGGCGUAAAGCGCACGUAGGCGGAUCUUUAAGUCAGGGGUGAAAUCCCGAGGCUCAACCUCGGAACUGCCUUUGAUACUGGGGAUCUCGAGUCCGGGAGAGGUGAGUGGAACUGCGAGUGUAGAGGUGAAAUUCGUAGAUAUUCGCAAGAACACCAGUGGCGAAGGCGGCUCACUGGCCCGGUACUGACGCUGAGGUGCGAAAGCGUGGGGAGCAACAGGG
rnacentral:rRNA from 1 species